AUUGUUGACUUACAUUGUGUAUUACGUUGCGUGUGUAAAUAGAAAUAGUGUUUGAGAUGAAAAGUCAUACAUUUUUGCAUUAAUCAAAUGAGGUGUUUGUAAUCGUUUGGCUUGUUUUGGGUAAACAAACCGAAAUAUCGCCACAAUCCAGCAAAAACUCCAAAAGUUUUUUAUUUGAAAGUUGAACCAAAAUCGACUACUGUUCCCACCAAGAGAGAAUUCAUCAUUUUGGUUGAAACUAAGGCACCGCAUCUCGUCUGUUGUUUAAGGAGGAAGUAUCGUAGACUCCACGACAACGGAACUAUGUUCAACGUCCAACAUCAGAAUGUGAACGAUACAUUCCUAAAUUAGAUCUUGGGUUAGAUGGUGCCAACAUACCGGAAUUUAGAACGGAGUCCAACAUGCGGGGGAGGAGGAACGCUAAAACUAAACCAAAGCGACAACAUGCAGGGCAAAUGGUUUAAUAAAACAACAUUGAUGAUCAGAUUGUAUUAAGGCAGAU